UACGUAGGGUGCGAGCGUUGUCCGGAAUUAUUGGGCGUAAAGGGCUCGUAGGCGGCUCAGUAAGUCAGGUGUGAAACCUCCAGGCUCAACCUGGAGACGCCACCUGAUACUGCUGUGGCUAGGAGUCCGGUAGGGGAGCGUGGAAUUCCUGGUGUAGCGGUGAAAUGCGCAGAUAUCAGGAGGAACACCAAUGGCGAAGGCAGCACUCUGGGACGGUACUGGACGCUGAAGACGCGAAAGCCGUGGGGAGCAAACAGG
rnacentral:rRNA from 1 species